GUCUACUUGGUGGCCAGCAGUUGCUGUUUCUUCUAGAUCAUCAGGAGCAGUUUCCAAGGAGACUACCUCCUUGUGGGUUGAAUCUUCAGCAGGUGCAUAUUAGCUCAUUUCCAGCGAAGUCUGCAGGCAGAAAAUCAACUCUGCUCUUGCCUGACCUUCUCACCUGCUUCCCGUUUUAUCCUCUCAUGGAUGCAACUUUCCCUGUAGGAAAAAGUGAAAUCAUUUGCUGGUUCCCUCUCCAUCUAUACUAGGAGGUGAAUAGAGCAAUCCUCGCCCUGCAGGCGCCGAGGUACCCCACCCUCUGACUUCAGUGACUGCAGCAAUGGAAGGAACUAUGAGCCAAGGAUUUGAAGUAAUCUUAUCUGUGGCUUUCUUUUCCUCCUCUUCUAUUGAUGACAAUAUGGAGGAAUGUUUAUUCUUAACCAAC
ensembl:lncRNA